rnacentral:sRNA from 1 species
UUUUUAUUCACAAAACAAGUACAGCAUAGGCAGCUGCAGUGGAAGCUUCCCCACAUUGCCUAUUAACAGGCCUUCGCCCUGCCCUGGAGAAACCAUCACUACGGAUGAGA